UACGUAGGGUGCAAGCGUUGUCCGGAAUUAUUGGGCGUAAAGAGCGUGUAGGCGGCCCGAUUAGUCUGCUGUGAAAGUCCAGGGCUCAACCCUGGAAUGCCGGUGGAUACUGUCGGGCUAGAGUCCGGAAGGGGCGAGUGGAAUUCCUGGUGUAGCGGUGAAAUGCGCAGAUAUCAGGAGGAACACCAAUGGCGAAGGCAGCUCGCUGGGACGUGACUGACGCUGAGGCGCGAAAGCGUGGGGAGCAAACAGG
rnacentral:rRNA from 1 species